rnacentral:rRNA from 1 species
AUUGAACGCUGGCGGCAGGCCUAACACAUGCAAGUCGAGCGGAUGAAGGGAGCUUGCUCCUGGAUUCAGCGGCGGACGGGUGAGUAAUGCCUAGGAAUCUGCCUGGUAGUGGGGGAUAACGUCCGGAAACGGGCGCUAAUACCGCGUACGUCCUGAGGGAGAAAGUGGGGGAUCUUCGGACCUCACGCUAUCAGAUGAGCCUAGGUCGGAUUAGCUAGUUGGUGGGGUAAAGGCCUACCAAGGCGACGAUCCGUAACUGGUCUGAGAGGAUGAUCAGUCACACUGGAACUGAGACACGGUCCAGACUCCUACGGGAGGCAGCAGUGGGGAAUAUUGGACAAUGGGCGAAAGCCUGAUCCAGCCAUGCCGCGUGUGUGAAGAAGGUCUUCGGAUUGUAAAGCACUUUAAGUUGGGAGGAAGGGCAGUAAGUUAAUACCUUGCUGUUUUGACGUUACCAACAGAAUAAGCACCGGCUAACUUCGU